rnacentral:lncRNA from 1 species
UCACAAUUUCAUAAAAUCAGAAUCGCUAUUUCUCAAUUUCUUGUGGAUUGAGAACAUCCUGUGGAGUCCGGCGGCGAUCGGUGCAGCGACCUGGUCGGCGAGAUGACAGAGGAGGCGAGAACUGGAGUGGGUGGUCGGGUGAGUGAGGCGGCCGCGAAAGGCGAACUGGAGAGGGAGACGGCCGGAGUUGGGAGUGAGGCGGCAGGCGAGGCGUGCGGGAGAGGCGGCGGCGGCCGGCGGGUGAGGAAGCGGCGAGCUGGAAAUGGGGGAGGGUUGAGGCGGCGAGUGAGCGUGAGUGAGAGUGAGGGAGAGGAAGUGAGGUGAGGAAAUGAGAGUAGAGUUAGGGUUUGACUAUUUUGUUUUUAAUGUUUUUAAUUUUAAAUAUAUCUAAUAUUAUUAAUAAAAUAAU